rnacentral:rRNA from 1 species
UACGAGGGGGGCAAGCGUUGUUCAGAAUUAUUGGGCGUAAAGGGUGCGUAGGCGGUUUUGUAAGUCUUGUGUGAAAUCUUCAGGCUCAACUUGAAGACUGCACGAGAAACUGCAGGGCUUGAGUGUGGGAGAGGUGAGUGGAAUUCCUGGUGUAGCGGUGAAAUGCGUAGAUAUCAGGAGGAACACCUGUGGCGAAAGCGGCUCACUGGACCACAACUGACGCUGAUGCACGAAAGCUAGGGGAGCAAACAGG